rnacentral:lncRNA from 1 species
AUUUUUCUCAGGUCCCAGGGCUGAGAACCAAGGGACAGAGGCUCUGCCGGAUGGCUCAGCCCUUGUGCUCCAAGUGUGGCCCCAGGACACAGCAUCGCCUGGGAGCUUGUUAGAAAUGCGGGGUCUUGGGCCCCACCUCACGCCUCCUCACCCGGGAGCUGCAGCUUCACAAGAUCUCCAGAGCCUCGUGUGAGGGAGUGAUGCUGGAGACUGGAGGCUGAGUGUCUCAUCUGUGCCUACUUCAGACUUCUGGACCACCUGCUUCCCUUGCAGGCUGUGGGUAAGGGCUCCAUUCCCAAACCCCAUCCCAUCCUCUUAGCUAUGGCCAAGUAGACCCAGCUCCUGGAAGACAGCGUGCUGCUUCAGGAUGAAGCCUUCUCACGUCUUUCAGCUUGAACCCCCUUCCUUUGGGCUGACCCCCAUUUGCCCGUGAAUACCUAGUUCAGUGAACAAAAGAGAAACUGAGUCCAGGGCACAGUCCCUGAGCGCUGAGACUGGAUUGGAAGCCCCUACCAACACCCUGUGGCCAUUGUCCCCAGCACUACCAUCACUGCCAUCUUCGGUGUCCUGGCUGCCUCCCCACCAUGCUGUGUAAGGACUCUUUGGGUCCCGGAAUUCCCAGGCUCAGCGCUGUGGCCUGAAGGCUUGGCCCAGCAAUUGGCAGGGCGCAGGCAAGCAAUAAUAUUGAGUGAAUGAAUGAAUGAGCAUUCUCUCCUAGAGUUCCUGCAUCUGGGGGAAGGUAGUGUGACUUCAUGGUUGAGAGCUGUCAGACAACCUGGAUUUAAAUCCUGGAUCUCCCAUUUACUAGCUGUGUGACUUGGAGCAAGCUACUUAACCUCUCUGUGCCUCCAUCUCUGCGCCUAUAAGAUGGGCUAAUACAGUUGUGAUGAAUUAAUUAAUUAAUAUGCAUAAAGCACUCAGCACAGGUUCUGGCAGGGGUAAUCUCUCAAUAAAUCAUACCUG